CUGCUGUGGACGACCGUCUGUGUGUUCAGAGAAGGGGUGAGCGGCGUUCUCGCUCGCGUUCCUUUGUGGGCCUUUCCCGUACAGGUGUCGCGUGUGCUGUGCUGGAAUUCGAUUUUAGUGACUAUUCCUUAGAAGCAGCUUGGUUGAGGAAAGAUUAAGCCAUGGACCUUUACAGAUCGUGUGUGACCCCUUGGCGGUUCUGCCCCCCGCCCCGGGUCGGGUGUCACAGGCCAAGCCGGAGACCUCAAGAGGGUUGAAUGCUUUUCCUCCCUACACCAGACUGAAUCCCGCCAGAGCAAGUCCUAUCUGUCUUGCUUCCCUCCCGCUGAAUCCUCAGUCCCAGAACAGCUUCGGCAGGAAGUGGGAACUGGAAGAGUGAGUGAUCAAUGCCCACAGCAUUCUCAUUCCUGCCUCAGCCCUGCUCCGCUUUGGUCAUCAGGAGCUCUUUCAAACUCCUUGAUAUUUACUUUGUGAAAUCCUCAAAGCCACCCUUCUUCCUGGACCUCCUGUGGGCAAGGGGAAGGAGAUGUGCGGUCAGUUCCCCCAAGGAAGAGUGAGUCUCCAAACUGCUGGUUCCUGCAGAGGUGAUUUAUCACAUAGACACCAAAAUCUAAAGGUCACAGGGCAGUGAGUCAAGAAGCAGAGAUAGGAUGAGUCAAGAACACAGCCCAGAAAUUGCAGUGAGACAUUGACUGUUCUGGUGA